AAAAUAAUUAAAAAUCCAACAGGUAAUUUCUCUAAAAUUUACAUAUAUUAUUUAAGUUUAUUUAAUGAAAAUAAAUGAGUAUUUAACUAACUAAUUAUAUUUUUAAUAUACCCUCAAUAUUUCUGGUGAAUUCUAAUAGAAAUAUUUAAUAAUUAAUUACUUGUACUGAUCUGUUUUAGAAACUAAAAUUAUUAAGUAUUUCCUACCGAUUUUCCUAAAUAAAAUAAACGACAGUUUAAAUAAAUUGAGUAAAUUUCGCGGCUAAAGUGAUCACGUGUGCAGCUCCGCAGAAAACAAAGACAAUCUGCUUUCCUCAGCAACGACGUCGACUAGCCAUACUCCUCGCAACUCCUGGUAAGUAACGUUAGUCAGCUAAUCCUACUUACGUUUGUAACACUUUAUUAAAAAGUUAAUAAUUAUUAAGCAUUUCCUAACAAUUUUCUUUGUAUUUUACAUCAUCUUAAACAAGUUUCGCGGCUUAAUUGAAGCCACCUGAAGGAUGGCUUUCCUCAGCAACGGCAAGGCCCGCACUCCUCGCAUAUCCUGUUUAACAAGUUUCGCGGCUCAAGCAAGAGGCACCUGUCACUGAAGGACUGCUUUCCUCAGCAACGACGUGAACAGCAUUACUCGAAUAUCCUGAUUCAGCUGAUCUACCCGUCUUUGUACAAGCGGAGUUGGCAGAGGAGGUCAUAAAAAUCUACAUCCUUCGGGACAAUGAUGGGGCAGUUGGUGAUGUAGGAGUUGUGAUUGAGGGCAUCACUGUCCUUAGCAAUCUUGGGAAUCUCAGCAGAGCCUGCUGCUUUCUUUUGGGACUCACGUACGCAUUGGAUUUGAGAUAUCCCAAGACCCACAAAUACUCACUUGAGGUGUUCCAAAAACUGUUUCUUGAGCUGGAUCCUUCAAGACUCUCUGUUAAGGUUCAGAGGUUAAAAAAUUAUCUUCUUGCAUAGUUGCUGUUCAAGAUCAUCCCACAGAAUGGGAAUUCCUGAUGGAAAUGUUUCUGUUAUCUGAUUAAUUCUGUUGAAGGGAUAGUUCACCCAAAAAUGAAAAUGUUGUCAUAAUGUACUCGCCCUCAAGUUGUCCCAAACCUGUAAGAGUUUCUUUCUUCUGUUG